GAGCACUGAUCGUUACCCGUAGUGCAUUAUGGUUGCACUUUGGGCUCCAUUACAGUGCCAGAACAAACUUGUCCUCUGAAGAAGGGCUAGACUUAUCAGUAGCCUUGCUCUUUCUAAAGUGAUGAACAAUG